CCUACGGGGGGCAGCAGUGAGGAAUAUUGGUCAAUGGCCGGAAGGUUGAACCAGCCAUGCCGCGUGAAGGUCAGUGCCCUAUGGGCUUUAAACUUCUUUUGUGCGGGAGCAAUAAUGGUCACGUGUGGCCAGACGAGAGUACCGUACGAAUAAGCAUCGGCUAACUCCGUGCCAGCAGCCGCGGUAAUACGGGGGAUGCAAGCGUUAUCCGGAUUUAUUGGGUUUAAAGGGUGCGUAGGCUGUGAGGUAAGUCAGCGGUGAAAUGCCCCCGCUCAACGGGGUGAAGUGCCAUUGAUACUGCCUUGCUGGAGUGCGGAGGCAGUGGGAGGAAUGUGUGGUGUAGCGGUGAAAUGCAUAGAUAUCACACAGAACACCGAUUGCGAAGGCAUCUCACGAAUCCGCGAUUGACGCUGAUGCACGAAAGCGUGGGUAUCAAACAGGAUUAGAUACCCGGGUAGUC
rnacentral:rRNA from 1 species